rnacentral:tRNA from 1 species
AAAAGUAUAAUAAAAAAUAUAUAUAUUUUUUUUGCAAAGUAAUAAAUAAUAAAAUUUUAGAUAAUUUUAUUACUA